rnacentral:rRNA from 1 species
CUUAAAUGAAUUGACGGGGCCCGCACAAGCGGUGGAGUAUGUGGUUUAAUUCGAUGCAACGCGAAAACCUUACCUGGUCUUGACAUCCCGGAGACCCUUAGGAAACUAGGGGGUGCUUCCAUCUGGAAGAAUCUGGAGACAGGUGCUGCAUGGCUGUCGUCAGCUCGUGUCGUGAGAUGUUGGGUUAAGUCCCGCAACGAGCGCAACCCUUGCCUUUAGUUGCCAGCAGUUCGGCUGGGCACUCUAAAGGGACUGCCGGUGUUAAACCGGAGGAAGGUGGGGAUGACGUCAAGUCCUCAUGGCCUUUAUGACCAGGGCUACACACGUACUACAAUGGCCGAUACAAAGGGCAGCGACACUGCGAGGUGAAGCCAAUCCCGUAAAAUCGGUCUCAGUCCGGAUUGGAGUCUGCAACUCGACUCCAUGAAGUUGGAAUCGCUAGUAAUCGUGGAUCAGCAUGCCACGGUGAAUACGUUCCCGGGCCUU